GCACCUGCAUGCACAAACAUUUUAACAUAUGUUAAAUACUAACAAGUUUAAUAUUAUCUUCACUCAAUAUUAUUUCAUGAGCAUUAUUAAAACACUGAAAUUCUAUCAACUAAGACUAAAGGUAAUACAGGGGUCCCAACCCAGGCCAUGGACUAGUACCUGUAUGUGGCCUGUUAGGAACAGCAGGAAGUGAGUGGUGGGCAAUUGACUGAAGCUUCAUUUGUAUUUACAGCUGCUCCCCAUCAUUUCACUUCCUGUCAGAUUACCGGCAGCAUUAGAUUCUCAUAGUGCAAACACUAAUGUGAACUGGAUAUGCAAAAGAUCUAAGUUGUGUGCUCUUUAUUAGAAUCCACUGUCUGAUGCUCUCAGCUGGAGCUGAGGCUGUGAUGCUAGUGCUGGGGAGAGAUUGUGAACUCCAAUUAACAUGAGAGAGGUCUGACUGUAAGGGGACCAUAAUAAAUCAACUGCUUGCCGACUCAUUAAAACCCUAGAUAAGCUGCAUCUAGUGUAAGCUUUAUAGUGGCAAGUUAGUUGGUGAACAUCUGCAUCUGGUGGCAGACAGUAAGUCAGAAUCUGACACUUAUUUUAGUCUGUGUGUGGCUGACUCAUUAUUUAACCACUUAUAUCCAAGCCUCUUUCUCAUAUUGUACAUUUGUCUCAGUGACAGUUUUGGGAAGCCCACAAGCUAACCCUAGCCAAAGAGAGUGAAAAACAAACAUCACUGGAGAGCUUCUUUGCAAAGGAGAAGUACUCCACGAUGAGACAGAAGAAGACUCUAAGCCAACAAAAACAAAGAUGUGAUUAAAUUAUCAACCACAUUAAAGGACAUAGCUUAACUCAUGUCUGUGCAGCUCUGUCAGGAGAUGGACAUAAGAGCAUAUACAUCUGUUAUCUACAGAAGUGAGAUGGCUUUCUAAAGCUCUGAAACAAUUCAAUAUUGACACCAAUUAAAAUGAAGGCAGAGAAGAACACCGAAGGAUGAAGUCUAAAAAUUAGACAAAACACAUUCUGCAUAAAUAAAAAGACAAUUAACAGGUGUUCUAAACAUAACUAUGUCUGUGAGUUUCAAGCUUUAUUGUAGCAUACAGUAGCUUUCUAUGGUUUGUGCACAACUGAUACUGGAAGGAAACAUGGAUACUUUGAAUGGCUGAAUCCCGAAAUAAGACUAAGGGAUCAAACUCGGGACACUGGACUUGCCAAGCAGGCGUUGGAACCACUGAGCUAAAUCCCAGGCCCUUGUCUGUGAUUUUAUUCUUCAACUUUGUGAGACAAAACCCCCUGAGAUUUAUAUAAAAUUAACUUUCAUAUCUGGAGGUCCCACUGCAAUCACUCUAGACUUUAAAUCCAGCAAACAGACUGAUAGGAGACCUAAAAGAAACUAGGACCAUCAUAUGAACAGACACGGAAAGAUGUAUACAAUAUAUCAUAGUAAGAAAAAGGAAGAUUGUACAAUUGGGGCUACAGGAUCACUCCCCUCCACUGACCUGAACCCAGGAAAUCUCGCAGGCGAAUCUUGACUUCUGUCCUAAAGUUUACUACCCAGAGGCAAAGAAAGACAGAGACUCCUGCACCCAUCCACCUUGGAAGACUCUGAAGUCCCAAGCCCAGACACAAUAUCAAGAUAAACGAAACUCAUGCACAAUAAUUACAAGUGGAUGAAAAAUACUGAUGAUUAAUUCAAUCACAUUAUUUUCUGGCUAAGAAGAACCUGACAAGACUGGCCCAGCCUUGUUACAGUGACUGGAAACCAAAGCUUGGGCCUAUACAUUACUUAUGGUCACAAAGUAAAUAGAACUAUUUUGCAAGACUAUGUGGCGACUGCCUUCAACAAGACACUAACUCAUUUAAAGAACACAGUAUCCUUCUGUUAUGGCAGAUGGGAAAUCAAUGAAUAAUUGCAUUAUUUUAUUAUUUUUCUGUGCAAGAUGAAAAUGUCUCUGUUGUGUUUAGUACGGUGAAUAUUCAAAAUUCUAUAACAGACUCUUAUUUUGUGUAUUAUAUACAGUAAACUAAACAUCUGGUUUUAUUAUAAGACUUCCUGUCAAAUUUGAAGUUUCACCUAUUGCAACAGUACCAAAAUAAUAAAU